UAAAAAAUUAAAAAAUUGUCCAGUAGCCCCUUAGAGACCAACUAAGUUUGUUCUGGGUGUAAGCUUUCGUGUGCAUGCGCACUUCUUCAGAUACACUGAAUCAGAAGUCACCAGACCGUUAUAUAGAGUGGGAGGGUGGGGUGGGGUUUUUCUCAGAAGGGUAGUAGGAGAUGGGUGAUUGACUCAAUGGGUAUGGUAAACCUGUUGACGACUGUUAAUGACGGCAAUAAGUCCUACAAGAAAAAGCAAGGGAUAGUAUGCAGAUGACCAAAAAUAGCUUUAGCAUAUGUAAUGAGACAAGAAUCCAAUAUCUCUAUUCAGA